rnacentral:pre_miRNA from 1 species
CGCCUACUCCGUUCCGAGAUUUCGUCAGACACCAGAUUAUUAGUAGUGAUGAGACUCUCAAGAUGAGUGAAGCA